AGUCCCGCAACGAGCGCAACCCUUGUCCUAUGUUGCCAGCGCGUAAUGGCGGGGACUCGUGGGAGACUGCCGGCGACAAGUCGGAGGAAGGUGGGGACGACGUCAAGUCAUCAUGCCCCUUAUGCCCAGGGCUGCAAACAUGCUACAAUGGCCGGUACAAAGGGCUGCGAAACCGUGAGGUCAAGCGAAUCCCAUAAAGCCGGUCUCAGUUCGGAUUGGAGUCUGCAACUCGACUCCAUGAAGCCGGAGUCGCUAGUAAUCCCGGAUCAGCAACGCCGGGGUGAAUA
rnacentral:rRNA from 1 species